UCCUUCUGUAGGAAAAAAUAUUGAUAUCUCCUGAACCAUUUCAGGGGACAGUUUAAAUUGGACUCUUGCGUUGGGCUUUGGGCAUAUUGUCCAUGGGUGCUACUGUGUAUGUGGUGACUGGUUCUCUUAGUUUGUCAAAGUUCACUUAGUUUUUUUAUCGCUACUGCUGCAAGAUGUCAUUGCUCAGCCUGAUUUUGGGGAGAUUUGGAUUUGUUAUUAUCAAGAGCUAGUUGAGGAUCUUUGGUUGCAACAUCGUCACUCCCUUAAACAAGAAACCUUGCAAUGAUGAUAUUCAGAUUUUAGAGAAUCAACAUAAUUGGAUGUGUGCAAUAAAAGCAGACUACUGGGAAUGCAAAAACAAAGUCAUUAAAAGUAGCACAUUGGUUACAUUAUUGAUUCAUCUCGUCAUAUAAGGAAAAAGAAGAAGGGACGGUCAUAUGGCAUAGGGACUCUCUGAACCAGAUUCAGAAUGCUGUGACUAUACUCAGUAGCUACAAUACUGUUGAGUUGGUACAAUAGUAUGACCUUAAAGCCAAUGUAUAACACUAUCUCAGAUGCAGAGUCUGUCAAUCUUGAGAUAUCAGGGAAGCAUGGGAUGAUACAACAUGAUCAUUAUGUGUGUGGUAUUUCCACCUGUUCGUGAAAAAUGUGUACAAGAAAGGCAACUUAUGCGUACAUGCAUAAGUUAGAGCAUCUUUUGUCACUGGUGAAGCAAAUCCCCUCCGUAUCGAGGUGGUAUACUUUUCGCCUUGCAAUGGAAGCACUAGUUGCAGAUGACUUCUACGACAUUCUGACAUGGAUGUGAAGUGCAUCAGUAUGAGAAUUACAGCUCCAGAUCAACCAUAUAAUGAUAGCAUACUUAAGGCAAGUACAACUCAUACAGUUUUCUAUGAUUUUCUUGGAUAUAUGCAUAGCAUUUAUACAUUCUCGUGGUUUGGUUUCUUGCUCAAUUGGUGGACAGGACUCAUUUUGAAAGCAAUAUUAGUCAAGUAAAGUAUUUAAUUUACCCCUUAAUUUGGGCUUGUUAUGUACAUAUAUUGGUCUUUGCAGGCACUGAGUUGUGUCUCAAACACCAAAGAAAUCAAUUUCCCUACUGGUCAUCACAGGAAAAGGAUGCCGCGGAUAAGGUUGUCAGAGAGCAUGGCAAGGAGCUGGUUGGCCGCUAAGUAAGGCCAAUUGAUCAAGUGUGUGUGAUUUCACUGAAUUGCAAAGUUCGCAGACUCUUCACUGUUAAGGUUGCAUCCGUGUCACAUUCUCCAGAAAUGCACCCGUUUACAUUUGUGAAGAGUCCAAACAACAUAGAUGAAUUGAUUUACUUUUAUUUUAUUUUUAGUGUUGGCUUGCUCUUUAACUGAGUGUGUGGAAAUUUUUUCAUCUGAGUAACUCUUAAUGAA